UACGGAGGGUGCAAGCGUUGUUCGGAAUUACUGGGCGUAAAGCGCGUGUAGGCGGUCUCGUAAGUCGGGUGUGAAAGCCCUGGGCUCAACCCAGGAAGUGCACUCGAAACUGCGAGGCUAGAGUACUGGAGAGGUUGGUGGAAUUCUCGGUGUAGAGGUGAAAUUCGUAGAUAUCGAGAGGAACACCGGUGGCGAAGGCGGCCAACUGGACAGAUACUGACGCUGAGACUCGAAAGCGUGGGGAGCAAACAGG
rnacentral:rRNA from 1 species